GCGAGAGUGGCGGAAUUGGUAGACGCACUGGAUUUAGGUUCCAGCGCCGCGCGGCGUGGGAGUUCGAGUCUCCCCUUUCGCACCA
rnacentral:tRNA from 2 species